rnacentral:pre_miRNA from 1 species
AAUAAGUGCAGUUUUACACUAUUCACGUUUAACGUUUGACCGUUCGUCUUAUUUGAAAAUUUUAUAUGAUUAGUAUUUUUAUUGCUAUUAGAUGAUAAAACAUGACUAGUACUUUAUGUGUGACUAAAUAUUUUUAAAUUUUUCAUAAAUUUUUCAAAUAAGACGGACGGUCAAAUGUUGGGCACGGAUUUU